rnacentral:rRNA from 1 species
AUGCUUGUAGAUCAUGAAAAGAAUGCUUUAGGUGCUGGUUAUAUUGUUAAAUUCAUUCAUGAUGCUACUAAAAAUUAUUAUGAGGGAGGAAUAUAUUCUUGUAGGAGUUGCAAUAAUAUCAAGUUUCCUCUCUAUGUGCUUAAAGUUUUGAAGUUAUGUGUGUUUUACCUUCCUAUGCAAGUUGAUUAUUGCUCCCAUAAGUUGUUUGCUCACAAAAUCCCUAUGCAUAGGAAGUAUGUUAGACUUAAAUGUGCUAGUCGUAUUCUUAAUGAUGCUCUCUUUAUGUUUCGAUUCUUAUCUUUUAUACGAGCAUCAUUGAAAUCAUCAUGCCUAGCUAGGGGCAUUAAACGAUAG